GGUCGAGAUGGAUUGUGAGCGUAAAAUACACGGGAUGGUCCAGCUCGCUGAGCGGCGGGCUCCUCUGUGCAAUAUGGCGUCUUCCUCUUUUCGAAGUACGUGUCUAUCCGUGUGAUAUAGAUAUACAUCACGGUACAGAGGUUAAUCGUUCCUCGCACGACACGAGCACCUGGAACACGAGCAAUUCCCUCGAUGUGGACAAAUAGGGAGCGAAGCUGUCGACACCGGGUGAACCUAUCCCGUGCCAGCUACGGAAAUACAGCAGGGGAGAUUCCCGCGCGGCGAAGGAACCUCUGGGACCUGCCGAGUUCAGAGGGGUUCGCGAGGGUGGCGAAGGAGUGAGGCGACUGUCAGCGGAGCUCAGAUUGUAUCGUCGCUCCCAACGGAGAACUACGCCGGCCACUCUCUCGGAGUCCUUGACUUAUGCGAGUAAUUUCGAGUACCUUUGAGGCCUUUGGGGUGGCGUUCAAAAGUUGUAGCGUGGAAAUUGGGGUGAAAUGAAAGCAGCCCAACGAAUAUAGGUGUAUACGUCCGAUUUCACGGAUAAUUACACAGGUCAUCAGCUGUUUUUCCAUUUGGCUCGAUCUCUUAUCGCAUACAAGUAUAUAUGUAUAUCGCAUAACCAUUAAAUUAUCCGUAAUCCUGUCAGACAACACAAUAUUCAUCGAAAAAAACGGUGUGAUUUUGAUUAACUUGUUUGAUUACAUGUCAAAUGCACCCUGCAUUGCGUUCAAUUAAACAUAUGUAAAUACUCCAUGACUAUGAUUAUUUUGCUCUGCAGCGUUAAGUUGAAUUGUACGUUGCAGCGCUAUAACUUAACCGUAAAUUCAUUUUUAUAAAUAUUUUUCUAAUGUUCAAUGGUAUACCCAUUAUGCAGGUACCUGCCGCAGAGCUCUUUUGUUUCCACAUUAUAUACUCUAUAAAAUUUGUAGGACAAUGAUAAAAAGAUGAAUACUCUACUGUAACAAUGAAAUUAAUUAACUCUGUUGCAUUUGAGUAUAUGGUACUUUUCCAAUAUUAAUGUCACGUCUGUUUCAUAUCGUACUGUGGAUAGAGCUUGUCGCUACAGCACGUGUUUGAACAAGUGCGAGAGAAAAACAUACAUUCUUUUUCGAUUCACUGCUUGCGCUUAAUAAACGGAGUUCAUUGGGUCCAGACAAUUGCUAAAAACUUUCGAUAAUAAUUGAUCAAUACGUGUUUAUUUUUAUCAUUACAGUAAAAAAUAUUGUUGCUGUUCACGCUAAUUCCAUUUUCAUUUUUUCCAGCUAAUAAAGUCAGAAGCAAGAGUUUCAAUGAUAAUACUAAAAAUAACAUACUGAACGAGAAAAUAACGUUUCUGCGCUACCUCCGUCAACAGCUCGACUACUUUGUCAUUUUUAUGUGCACUAGUGCUUAUAAAAACUACACAAUAUUCUCGUCUUUGGCUAGAGGAGCACGC